UACGUAGGGUGCGAGCGUUGUCCGGAAUUACUGGGCGUAAAGAGCUCGCAGGUGGUUUGUCGCGUUGUUCGUGAAAACUCACAGCUCAACUGUGGGCGUGCGGGCGAUACGGGCAGACUAGAGUACUGCAGGGGAGACUGGAAUUCCUGGUGUAGCGGUGGAAUGCGCAGAUAUCAGGAGGAACACCGGUGGCGAAGGCGGGUCUCUGGGCAGUAACUGACGCUGAGGAGCGAAAGCGUGGGGAGCGAACAGG
rnacentral:rRNA from 1 species